rnacentral:misc_RNA from 1 species
UUUCCGUAGGUGAACCUGCGGAAGGAUCAUUAAAUAAUUUAGAUGGCCUCCUAGAACUUGUUCUAGUUAGGUUCAUUCUUUUUUACUGUGAACUGUUUUAACUUUCAGCGUUUGAGGAAUGUCUUUUAGUCAUAGGGAUAGACUAUUAGAAUGUUAACCGAGCUGAAGUCAGGUUUAGACCUGGUAUCCUAUUAAUUAUUUACCAAAAGAAUUCAGUAUUAUUAUUGUAACAUAAGCGUAAAAAACUUAUAAAACAACUUUUAACAACGGAUCUCUUGGUUCUC